rnacentral:lncRNA from 1 species
AAAUAACACAUCAAAGAUACGAGAACUGAACCAUAUUUUCCAAAUAUUGAUUAAGAGUUAUUUGAAGCACACUGACAUAGAUAAACAGUUUGAUGCUAUGAUUCUAGUCAUACGUUGAUACAUAAGUUAUGUCUUUUAAAAAAAAAAGAAAAAGAAAAAGAAAAAGUUUUGUCUUUGCACAGCAAUGUCUUUUAUGCCAUUAUAAACCCAC